AUAUUAUAAAUAGGGCAUCAUCUAGUUUUCCGGAGGACCGGAAACUCGCCGGGAGAGGGAACCUACUCGAUGACAGGGAUGACGACCACGUUCAAAAUCACUUGAACAUUUGCAUUCAGCCGCUGAAGAUCCAUUGCAACCUAUGUCGGAUUCAUUUUCGUUACUGUACUGCUUUCUCAUGGGUCUUAAACGUGAUCAAGCAUGGGUGGUGAAAAACUUUCCUCGUCAAGAUUUGGUCUUACGUUGAGGUUGUUCAUCCAGUCCAUUUGUGUACUAUGGAGAAUUCACUUGAAAGGUCUUAUUCGGUGGGGAGGCGAGUGUUUCUUCUGUCAGUGGGGCGUCCCGUUUAGGAAUUCUAAUAUGUUGAUGGGUUCUGCAUUCAUCAUUCACUGUUAGGUUGGUUGCCUUUUGGAAGAUUGAAUCUCACGUACUCCUUUCCUCAAGUGAUGGACGUGGACAUUUUUGCUGGUGUUGGUGUGCAGUUCUCAUGUUCCCUGUUGGAUGUUUUCUAAUGGUUUCUGCUGAGCUGUAGAUUGUCCCGUUACCGAACUAUUUGCGUCAAUCGGGUUCACUGCGGUUGGGUCCUUGGCGUUUUGUAGGGGUUUUUUAUCAGGUGUGGAUUCCUCUUGGUCCGUUUAUAGUCUUGGAGCUCUUGCUACCGUUUCGUCCGUUUGUUUAUUGUGAUGUUUUCGCGUUGCACUCUUCGGACUACUUGAUUCAUGGUUGGAGAUAUAAUGGUUUUUGAUACUGAUGGGCAUAGCUCAUGGGCAUUGGUGUCAUGUUGAUUGAUUCAUACAAAUAAACAAUUUUAAGAAAUCA